CCUACGGGUGGCAGCAGUGAGGAAUAUUGGUCAAUGGGCGUGAGCCUGAACCAGCCAAGUAGCGUGAAGGAUGAAUGCUCUAUGGGUUGUAAACUUCUUUUAUAGAGGAAUAAAGUUAUCCACGUGUGGAUAUUUGCAUGUACUCUAUGAAUAAGCAUCGGCUAACUCCGUGCCAGCAGCCGCGGUAAUACGGAGGAUGCGAGCGUUAUCCGGAUUUAUUGGGUUUAAAGGGUGCGUAGGUGGUUUUUUAAGUCAGCUGUGAAAGUUUGUGGCUCAACCGUAAAAUUGCCAUUGAUACUGGAAGACUUGAGUACAGUUGAGGUAGGCGGAAUGCGUGGUGUAGCGGUGAAAUGCAUAGAUAUCACGAAGAACUCCGAUUGCGAAGGCAGCUUACUAAGCUACAACUGACACUGAAGCACGAAAGUGUGGGGAUCAAACAGGAUUAGAUACCCCAGUAGUC
rnacentral:rRNA from 1 species